CAGUCGCCACGGUAAUACGUAGGUCCCGAGCGUUGUCCGGAUUUAUUGGGCGUAAAGCGAGCGCAGGCGGUUAGAUAAGUCUGAAGUUAAAGGCUGUGGCUUAACCAUAGUACGCUUUGGAAACUGUUUAAUUUGAGUGCAAGAGGGGAGAGUGGAAUUCCAUGUGUAGCGGUGAAAUGCGUAGAUAUAUGGAGGAACACCGGUGGCGAAAGCGGCUCUCUGGCUUGUAACUGACGCUGAGGCUCGAAAGCGUGGGGAGCAAACAGGAUUAGAUACCCCUGUAGUCCCUGUCUCUUAUAAC
rnacentral:rRNA from 1 species